UAUUCACCAUUAAUACAUGAGUUAGAGGCUGACAUGUGAAAAUGUAAACUUAAUUUCUGGAUUACUUUCUUUCUUUUUUUCUUUAAGGCCAAUCCUGCUUUUCUUACAGAAGCAUGAUGCUGUGUGUGGAUCACGUUAUCGUCAACGAGAACCUCUCUUCCUUUAUCUCCUCCUUGUGCAUGAUGUUUGGGUCGUAUUACUCAUUCAACCUCCAUUACCCAACUGCACUUGCAUCAACCCUGGAGUUUCUACAGAGAGAAGGGGACCAAAGUGGAGCGAACCAGUGCUACGCGAUUGUAUGUUAAUGCCAGAGUCCUGACGUUGAUUCAGGACCUCUCAGACCACGAAUGGCGAUCCAUUUGAAAAGGCUGUGAAAUCAUCAAUGAUCCAGUGCUGCAGUGCUGCCUCAUAAAAGUCAUGUUGCUGUUGAAGGGAAAAGAAGCCGUGCGUCACGAACAAGAUUGACACACCAACUCUUGCAAUCAACUCUCCCAGCAAACUCCAAGGACAAAGCGCUUUGUCCUAAAACAAGCAGAGACUGCCCGGACAACAAAGUUGAUAGCGGGUGUCCCAUCCGCGCACGAACCUAAGCCGCCCAAAACCGGCCACAGAGGGGAAGACCCAAAAGCAACGCCCAGACACACCUUUGGACACACCUUCGACACGGCCCGCUUCACCAAGGACUUUAAAAAGACUGGACACUGAGAUAACAGAUUUUGCUGCUCGGAAACAUGUAGCCUUGUUUUGGAUCCAGAACUGUUCCUCCGUCGUCUAUUUUUGCCUUGUUUUUGACAAUUGUCGACGAAUAAAUUGUCAACCUGCUUUCGGCGAGUCUUUUUCAAACUUUUGGAACAUGGAGUCAGUACAAAGGAUUAAUAUCGGAGGUGGACGCGCGAAGUUCUGCCUUCCCGGUUGGCGCGAGCGGGGGCAGCAUCGGCAGAGCGGCACUUUGUUCGGCUGUCACUGUUUCCGUGGGCCUUGGCCGUGGGGGCGAAUUUCAACAUCUGAAAAUGUCAUCUUUCCUAAUCCAUCAACAGACAGCAUAUGAGUACAUCAUUACAUGUGUGGCUUCUUUAUAUUAUCAGGGUGGGGGUGGGGGGUUGUGUGUGUGGGUGUGUGUACUUGAUACUAUCAUGUGACAAUGGGUAAGGUAAAUAAU